UUUAAGUUAGGUUUCUCUAAACACAGUGAAUUGUAACCCAACUUGAUGUGUAAACAUACUCUUCUAACAAGCAAUGAGUCUCAGCCAGUCACAGGAGCCAAAUUUCAGUCAACCACGGGCAGUCAGAUGUUCAAACCAGGUCAAAUAAGCCCAAGAUCAUGUGCACAUUGUUUUCUGAGGCCUGAUGACUUCAAUACUCCUUCUGGCUGGGGUGACCUCCUCAUUUAAUCCAUUUCAAAUAGUCAGCAAAGGGAGUUCACCUCUUCUCCACGGAAUGAGCAUGGUCCUUGUCCUUUAUUAUUUGGUUUCUAUCCCCUAACAAAUGACAUUAAAUAUUCCCUCAUUCAAAACA